UACGGGAGGCAGCAGUGGGGAAUAUUGCACAAUGGGCGCAAGCCUGAUGCAGCCAUGCCGCGUGUAUGAAGAAGGCCUUCGGGUUGUAAAGUACUUUCAGUCGUGAGGAAGGUGUUAAGGUUAAUAACCUUAGCAAUUGACGUUAGCGACAGAAGAAGCACCGGCUAACUCCGUGCCAGCAGCCGCGGUAAUACGGAGGGUGCGAGCGUUAAUCGGAAUUACUGGGCGUAAAGGGCACGCAGGCGGUUAAUUAAGUUGGAUGUGAAACUCCCCGGGCUUAACCUGGGAAUGGCAUUCAAGACUGGUUAGCUAGAGUCUUGUAGGAGGGGGUAGAAUUCCAUGUGUAGCGGUGAAAUGCGUAGAGAUGUGGAGGAAUACCGGUGGCGAAGGCGGCCCCUGGACAAAGACUGACGCUCAUGUGCGAAAGCGUGGGGAGCAAACAGGGAUUAGAUACC
rnacentral:rRNA from 1 species